UGGUCCUCCACCGACGUUAAGCUGGUCACCUAAAACAAAUAAAGAGAUCACAAAGACAUCAAUCAUACAAGUCAAAGUGCAAGUACUUUAGUACAAAAGAAGACCGCGAGCCGUAAACAAGCAGAACUUUUAAGUAUAACACGGAAAAAAUGGUAAAAACAACAAAAAAGUGAGUGAGUAGAACGAAAAAUUUAAAAUACAAUUAAAAAGUGAAAAACAGUGCAAAAAUUAUAAAAAAAUCAAAAAAUUACAAAAAAAAGAUAUAAAGAAAAGCCUAAAUUUAGUCAAAAGGAAAAUACCAAAGAAAAAAUUGUUUAAAAAGCUCACUAAAAAUAAUAGUUCUCAAAAAAACAAAAACCUAGAUAACAGCAAAAUUGCCAAAGUACAAUAGUACCUAAAACAUAAAUUUUCAAACCCAAUUUUCAUUGCCAAAUUUCAACAUUUUCAAAAACUUCAAAUAACCAUUUACAAACCCCAUAUUGCCAAAUUUCAAAAUUUACAAAAAUCCAAAACAACUAAAAUUCUAUUAUACAUAUAAAAAACCGUUACUUAUUUUCGCACUUUGCCUUCCUACAUUUGUUUUUGCAAAACUCAGGGUCAUUUAGUGCUAGAAUUCAAAGUAAAGAAGAAAAAAAAAAAAAUUCAAAAUCAAAAAAAGUAAUGGUAAAGAGAAAUACAAGUGUUUUGAUGAAACAAAGUGAACAACCUUGUGUAAGAGUCUCAACAACAGAGUUCCAACAACAAGUCAAAGGCAAGUCAGACAAACGUAAGUUCUCUGUAAACUUCGAACAACAAAUUGCAAUAAGAGAAAUCAUCAAUUUCAAACCAACUUUUAAACUUCACGUCACCAAACUCCAAGGGAUUCUGCUAUUCACCAGUGCCAAGUGUGCUUUCGGUACCACUCACUUAGAUUCUGCCGAAAAUUUUUAGCAAUGGAUGUUACUAAACGUAACCAAGUUGUUCGGCGAAACAAAUAUUGCCAUAAUUGCUUGGCACGUACACAUCUGGCCCAAAAUUGUAGUAGCCCUGACACUUGCUUAAAAUGUGCGUUACCGCAUCAUACAUUACUCCAUCCUAACCAUCAUCAGCGAGAUCAACCGCCAAGACGAUCGGUGCAUCAACGUGUUGGUCAACGAAAUGGUGUAUCAAAGAGGCCAAACAAAAGGACACAAACGGGUGCAAGCAAACCUAAGCCACUACAAGAGCCCACAGAUAGAAAUCAGCCUAAUCAAAAAAUAUUGUCGGAAGCAAUUCGUUCUCUAGCUGCGGUCUUGUGUGCUACUACCAAAACAACCUAAUUGCAACGCUGCAAGGAGUGGCGGCAUGUUUAAUUUAGCAUAAUGCAUUUCUCAUAUUAUUAAAUUUAUAUUUUAAAUAUUAAAGAAUGUCGGUUAAUUUACAGUUUAGAAACCACUGAAUUACAAACUUUUCAUACUGUUAGUUAACCAUAUAAAAUAACAUUGUCAUUUGUCAUUUAUAAAACUCGUUAUAUCAUGUAAACUUUUACAUUUUUUGUUAAAACCGAACCUUAACGAUAAUGUGUUAGUUUUUAAGAAACUUACUUACAUUAAAACUACCAAAAGGUGAGCAUCUCUUGCUUAAAUAAACAUCUCAUUUGAAUUUAUUAUAA